GUUUGCCGUGGGAUACGCAGCAGAUCGUCGUCGCCCUGCAGGCGACGCGCGUGGUCGGGCGCCUUGAUCGCCGCUCGUUCGAUUGGGGCGGCAAGCGCC
rnacentral:tRNA from 1 species